UGUGUAGGCGGUUCUUUAAGUUUGGUGUGAAAUCUCCCGGCUUAACCGGGAGGGUGCGCCGAAUACUGAGGGACUAGAGUACGGGAGAGGAAAGUGGAAUUCCUGGUGUAGCGGUGAAAUGCGUAGAUAUCAGGAGGAACGCCGGUGGUGUAGACGGCUUUCUGGACCGUAACUGACGCUGAGACACGAAAGCGUGGGUAGCAAACAGGAUUAGAUACCCCGGUAGUCCACGCCCUAAACGAUGCAUAUUUGGUGUGGGCAGUUCAUUCUGUCCGUGCCGGAGCUAACGCGUUAAAUAUGCCGCCUGGGGAGUACAGUCGCAAGGCUGAA
rnacentral:rRNA from 1 species